AGGUAAUAACUACAAUUUUUCUGCAGCUAAGCAGCGGAAAAUGGCGAUACUGAAUAAGCGUAAUGAAAGACUUGUGGGCGUGUUGCAUGAGACUGAAUCUACAGAAAUUGUAGUUUUGUGCCAUGGUUUUCAAUCUUCGAAGGAGUUCAACAUCAUGAUCAACAUUGCCAGUGCUCUAGAAAACCAAGGAAUUAGUGCAUUUCGCUUUGAUUUUGCUGGAAAUGGGUAAACUCUAGAGGCUAUUGAUUUAUUCUUCUGUCAACAUAUUAUUACAACACGAAUAGUAAUACUAAUAUUGUAGACAUACGUACAUGCUACUUAUUGCUGUUCUUUACAUUUUAGGAUACAGUUUAUGAUUUUAUUGACACAUUGAGCCUGCCUUCA